AUCUAUAUAAAAAUUAGAAUAUUGUUACUUUUAUUUAUUGUAAGCAAUAUUUGUUGAGUAAGAUAACAUAACACAUACAAAAAAAAGAAAAAACAAAUUAUUUCACAUUUAUAAAAUUUUAAUUUAAACAAAGAGAAACUAUGUAACUAAGUAACAUAUACGAGUAACUUGAGAGAGAGAGAGAGAGAGAGAGAGAGAGAGAGAGAGAGAGAGAGAGAGAGAAAGAUUGUAUCUGAAAAGGAUUAAUACAAAUUUAAAUAUAAGCGCACGUAAAAAAAUGUGAUAAAAAAUGUAAUUUAAUUUUAGGAAAAGUAGACAGAUAAUAAUGAAUUUACCAUCUUUGAAGGCCGAAGAUAACUUUGUUCUGUUAACAUUCUUUGGGUGCAAAAUACUUUGUUUUUUUUCUACGAGAUUACGUACAGAUAGUAGGUGUGAGAAAACUAAGAUAUAUAUGUGUGUGUAUCGAAAAGGUCUCUAGGAUCACAUUUAGUUCAUGGAGAGUACGCGACGUGUGCGUGCGCCACAAGCCUAAUUUUUGGUCUUUAAGUUUCCGCCCUAGUAUGCGGUACUUUUAUGUUCUUCUCGCUGAUCUGCGCCACGCGGUGCCUGUGCAUCACACGUUUCUUUUAUAAAAGUUAUAACCACUCAAUUAUAUCAUUUUGUUGUUUACUAAAUAUAAUUACCAACGUACAAAGUUGUGUGUGUUACUACGAGUACCUUCGUUUAGCCUAAAUCCCUGUCAGUAGGCUUGAUACUGAAGAACUGUCCGAUAUAGAUUGCAGUUCAUUACUAUCUAUAGUUAAUUGAGAAGAUGAGCAUUUUUCAGAAACUGUAACAUUGCAGAAAAUAAAUUCACAAUAAAAGAAAACAGGAAAUAUAAUUAGUUGUAAAAUCUAAAAAAUCUAUUAUUUGAAAAGUAAUAAACUUACUAUCAAAAGAAUUAUCACAGUUUUUUUUGUCUAAAUAUUGAGGCAUUCUGUUAAAUUUUCUGACAGACGUGGUCUUUUUUGAUUGCAAUGGAUUAGCAGUUCCAAAAUUUUCCGACAUUUUGGUGUUGCAGUCUUCAGGAACUAAAUCUCUUUGUUGUACAGUUAAAA